rnacentral:rRNA from 1 species
CAGUAGCCACGGUAAUACGUAGGUGGCAAGCGUUAUCCGGAAUGAUUGGGCGUAAAGGGUGCGUAGGCGGUUUCUUAAGUCUGAUGUGAAAGCCCCCGGCUCAACCGGGGAGGGUCAUUGGAAACUGGGAAACUUGAGUGCAGAAGAGGAGAGUGGAAUUCCACGUGUAGCGGUGAAAUGCGUAGAGAUGUGGAGGAACACCAAUGGCGAAGGCGACUCUCUGGUCUGUAACUGACGCUGAGGAGCGAAAGCGUGGGGAGCGAACAGGAUUAGAUACCCGCGUAGUCCCUGUCUCUUAUAC